CAAAGGCUUGAUAUAGUCAAUUACAGUCAAGCUGGACUUCCUGUCUAAUAUUCAAGACCCCCAAAAGAUUAAGCUCUCGAGUAUUUUAUGAAUGCUUAUAAGACAUAAAAAAGAAUUAAUACUAACUUCCCACUCAACCCAUCACUUUACCUAGAAGUGAGCCAAAAACAGGAUUUUAGUAGACCUAUUAGGAGCAAUUAUUCUAAAUUAACACUUUAGUCCCUAUCACCUUAUCACACCUUUACACAACCAGCUCUUCAAAAUUAACUAACCAAAAACUUUGUCACAACAUACAUUCCCUAAAUCUACUAGUUUACGUAGCUUAAAUUAUAAAGCAAGGCACUGAAAAUGCCUAGAUGAAUCAUAAAGAUUCCAUAAGCAUAAAGGUUUGGUCCUAGCCUUAAUAUUAACUGUCAGCAAAAUUACACAUGCAAAUAUCCGUAAACCAGUGAGUUCAGCCCUAUGUUUUCUACAGACCACAAGGAGCAAGUAUAAAGCACGCGUACCCAAACACGCAGCUAAAAACACUAAGUCUAACCACACCCCCACGGGAUACAGCAGUGAUAAAAUUUAAGCAAUGAACGAAAGUUUGACUAAGUUAUGCUGACUCCAUUAGGGUCGGUAAAUUUCGUGCCAGCCACCGCGGUCAUACGAAAGACCCAAGUUAAUAUUCCAACGGCGUAAAGAGUGCUAAAAUCCUAAACAAAUAAACAAAUAGAGUUAAGACUUGACUCCGCUGUAAAAAGCCAAAGUCAAAGCAAAAAUAAACAACGAAGGUGACUCUAAUUUUUGCAGCACUAAAGCUAUAGCCUAAACUGGGAUUAGAUACCCCACUAUAUCUAGCCAUAAACAUAAAUAGUUCAUAACACUACUAUUCGCCAGAGAACUACAAGCCACCGCUUAAAACUCAAAGGACUUGGCGGUGCUUUAUAUCCAUCUAGAGGAGCCUGUUCCAUAAUCGAUGAUCCCCGAUCUACCUUACCACUCCUUGCUAAUUCAGCCUAUAUACCGCCAUCUUCAGCUGACCCUAAAAAGGAAACAAAGUAAGCUAAAAAAGUAAAUACUAAAGAAGUUAGGUCAAGGUGUAGCCCAUGGAGUGGAGCGAAAUGGGCUACAUUUUCUAAUCCUAGAACAUUACGAAACUCUAUGUGAAACCCAUAGAAUAAAGGAGGAUUUAGUAGUAAAUUAAAACUAGAGUGUUUAAUUGAAUCGAGCAAUGAAGCACGCACACACCGCCCGUCACCCUCCUCAAAACCUUAACAAUUAAAAGUCCAUAACGCCUAAUUAUAAAAGACUGAGAGGAGACAAGUCGUAACAAGGUAAGUGUACUGGAAAGUGCACUUGGAAGAAUCAAAAUAUAGCUUAAACAAAGCAUCUGACUUACACUCAGAAGAUUUCAAUCCUAAUGAAUAUUUUGAACUAUAUCUAGCCUAACAAACUACCAAAUUAACUAUAACAUACACAUAAAUCAAACCAUUUACCAAAAAUUAGUAUAGGUGAUAGAAAAUUUAACUUUAGCGCUAUAGAUAAAGUACCGUAAGGGAAUGAUGAAAGAAAAACCUAAGUAAACAAAAGCAAAGAUUAAACCUUCUACCUUUUGCAUAAUGAACUAACUAGAAAAACUCUGACAAAGAGAACUUUAGCCAGAAACCCCGAAAUCAAGCGAGCUACCCUAGAACAGCCUUUUACAGGGCCAACUCAUCUAUGUAGCAAAAUAGUGAGAAGAUUUUAAGGUAGAGGUGAAAAGCCUACCGAGCCUGAUGAUAGCUGGUUCCUCAGAUUAAGUAUUUG